rnacentral:tRNA from 1 species
UCCUUUAUAGCUUUUAAAGGAUCUUA